CGCGCAGGCGGUUCCUUAAGUCUGAUGUGAAAGCCCACGGCUCAACCGUGGAGGGUCAUUGGAAACUGGGGAGCUUGAGGACAGAAGAGGAGAGUGGAAUUCCACGUGUAGCGGUGAAAUGCGUAGAUAUGUGGAGGAACACCAGUGGCGAAGGCGACUCUCUGGUCUGUUUCUGACGCUGAGGUGCGAAAGCGUGGGUAGCAAACA
rnacentral:rRNA from 1 species